CUAGCCACAGGGGACAUACUCCCCCUUAAUGA
rnacentral:tRNA from 1 species